UCAGGAUUCUCCAGGGAAACAGAACCAAUAGGAUAUAUACAGAUAGACAGAAAAGGAAAUUCAUCAUAGGAACUGACUCAUGCAGUUAUGGAGGCAAUAACUCUCAUAACCUUCCAUCUGUAAACUGGAGACCUAGGACAGCCAGUGGUGUAAUUUAACCCAAGUCCAAGGGCUUGAGAACAUGGGGAGCUGAUGGUAUAAGUCCCCAUCUGAUUCUGGAUGUCCAAGAGCCAGGAGCGCCAAAGGAGGAGGGCAGAAGAAGAAGGAUAUCCCAGCUCAGAUAAGGACACAGAGGCUCGGAGAAGAAAAGCAAGCCACUGAAGGUUGCCCAGUGAGGAAACAGCAAACACAGACUGAGGGAUCAUCCUGGUCCAGGCAUUGUUCUAGGCCUUGGGCAAACAAGAGCGACACGGAGCCUGUCUUCAUGGACACUCUGAUAAGGAAUCAUCCCCGUUUUACAGGUCUGAGUCACCAAUGUCCAAUGUGAUUUGGGUCAGAGGAUCAGGGCCUGUCGGUUCAACCUCCCCUUUGUCCUGAGAUGCUUCCCCAGGGCAUGGCAUAGUUGGAAAACCAGUCCCCUGGAAGAAAGUUUUGGUGCCUAUUGAAAUAAAGUGGCUUCUGGAGGAGCUGGCUUGAAUCACUCAUACCUCCAUGGGAACAAGUCUUCCAGAGCUGGCUUGGACCUCCUGCCAUGUGAAGAUUCCAGCUCUGACCAAACAAGGUUCUUCUAUAUCUGGCCUGUCUCAGCUCUUCCACCUGGAUCUCCCUUCCCCCUUUGCAUCUACAUUAUACAUUCCAGCAAGUUCUCAAACAUUCUCUGAGCAUACAAUACAGUUUUACACCUCGAUGCCUUGCACCUUGAACAUUGGCUAAAAGGGAGAGAACUACUGAGCUCCAGCACCCAUUGCAGAUUUUAUUUGUUACCACCCCAACUGUCAUCUUAACCCCCAAAAGAAGCAUAAGGAACCUUGAGAGCCCUCAAAGACUGAUCCUGGAGCCAUGGAAUGUUAUACCACAAGAUACCUUCAUCCUGGUUCAAAGUACUCCCUCUAUCAUUUAUAUACAUUAACAACAGACAGCUUUCAAGGCCAGGUAAUCAUGCCCAAGUCUACUCCAAGUUCUGGAAGCACAGCUGCCAUUCUGUCCUUGAUGGAAUGAUGGAGUGACAGAGUGGCAAGGAAGGGCUCAUGGCCCUUCUGUUGCAGGUAUUCAAGCCCUGGAGUUAGCUGUGGCAUCUGGAUGGAAAAGGCUGCAAGCAAAAGAAGGUGGAAAGAUCCAGAAUCAGUUAGGAAUCCAGGUUACACUGCUUGCUGCUGUGUUUCCAGGUCUAUCUGGUACAUACUGGCUGAUCAACAAAUAUCUGUGCAAUGAAAUUAUUAGCUGUGUGACUUUGGGAAAAUUUUUUAACUUUCCUCAAUGCCCUCACAGUGAAAUGCUGGUCAUACUGUGGGGCUUCAAUUUGAGAAGAUUAAAUGAACAAAGAGGGGAAAGCCUGGAGAUGCGUAGAAUGAGCUCAACAACAAUUAGUUGACAAUAAAAAUCAAAGUCCUGCUAUGAUCUGGCUGGGAUGAAAUUCUGGAUCAUGGAAAAGUUAUGGAAACUGGGGCACACUGAGACGCAAACACUGCAUGCUGAUAGCCACAUGGUACUGCCUCAAGGAUCUAGUCCAUCAAGAGAGUGGCUGGAGAGUGGCUGGGAGACUGAGAGGUUCCCAAGAGGCCAUUGGAAGAUUCUGGCUCAGGGGGAAUUUAGUAUUCACCUGCCCAGGUGAGGAGAGCCCAGGGUCUGGAACAGAGGGCAAGGAAAUGAAUGCAGCUGAAAGUGGGAGGCAGAACAAGUCUUAGGAAAGCAAGUUCAAGCAGUAGGAGCAGUUCAAGCAGUAGAAGCAAUGAUUUGAAGCAAGGGGAUAGUGGCUGCUGAUGGCCAGGGAGGGUUUUGGAUGACUGAUAGCUCUAAAAUUUGAUGUAGAAAAUCCAGUUCUUGGG